UGUGCUAAGUUCUGAGAUGAGGAAGCUUUGCAGCUGUGCACAGUGCUAAGUGGUUUCUAAUGAUUUGCAUGACCUCACUGCACAGCCCUGAGAACUUCUUUAUAUACUAGUCACAAUCUGUGUAAUUGUCACUACAGUCAGGACUCAGCAUGGAUAUGAGGGGCCUUGCUCAGUUUCUUGGAAUCUUGUUGCUCUGGUUUCCAGGUAUCAGAUGUGACAUCCAGAUGACCCAGUCUCCAUCCUCCAAGUCUGUCUCUCUGGGAGACACAAUCAGUAUCAGGUGCCAGGCAAGUGAGGGCAUUAACAGUUACUUAAUCUGGUUCCAGCAGAAACCUGGGAAAUCUCCUAAGCGUCUGAUCUAUGGUGCCACCAACCGGGCAGAUGGGGUCCCAUCAAGGUUCAGUGGCAGUGGGUCUGGGGCAGAUUAUUCUCUCACCAUCAGCAAACUGGAGUCUGAAGAUAUGGCAGAUUAUUACUGUGCACAGUAUUAUAAGUAUCCUCCCACAACUCCUAACUGGUCUGCUCCUGUGAAGACACCAUAUACUGACCCAUCCCAGAGGUCUGCUCCAAUGAAGACACCAUAUUCUGACCCAUCCCAGAGGAACAACUGUAUUCAGAGAGCAGAGGAACCACUGCACUCAGAGCAUCAGAGGAAUCACUGUACUCAGAGAAGCAGAGAAUCCCCUGAAGACAGAGCAGUUGA